rnacentral:rRNA from 1 species
AUAUCAAUAAGCGGAGGAAAAGAAACUAACAAGGAUUCCCCUAGUAACUGCGAGUGAAGCGGGAAAAGCUCAAAUUUAAAAUCUGGCGGCUCUGCCGCCCGAGUUGUAAUUUAGAGAAGCGUCUUCCGCGUCGGACCGUGCACAAGUCUCCUGGAAUGGAGCGUCAUAGAGGGUGAGAAUCCCGUCUUUGGCACGGACUCCCGGUGCUUCUGUGAUGCGCUCUCGAAGAGUCGAGUUGUUUGGGAAUGCAGCUCAAAAUGGGUGGUGAACUCCAUCUAAAGCUAAAUAUUGGCGAGAGACCGAUAGCGAACAAGUACCGUGAGGGAAAGAUGAAAAGCACUUUGGAAAGAGAGUGAAACAGUACGUGAAAUUGUUGAAAGGGAAACGCUUGAAGUCAGUCGCGUCGGCCGAGACUCAGCCUUGCCUUGGCUUGGUGUACUUCUCGGGUUGACGGGUCAGCAUGAAUUUUGGCCCUCGGAUAAUGGCAGGGGAAAGGUGGCACCUUUACGGGUGUGUUAUAGUCUCCUGUCGCAUGCGAGGUCUGAGAUUGAGGAACUCAGCACGCACCUCGGUGUCGGGGCUUCGGCCCACGUAACGUGCUUAGGAUGUUGGCGUAAUGGCUUUAAGCGACCCGUCUUGAAACACGGACCAAGGAGUCUAACUUGCACGCGAGUGUUCGGGUGGAAAACCCGUGCGCGCAAUGAAAGUAAAAGUUGGGACCUCUGUCGUGGAGGGCACCGACGCCCGGACCAGACCUUCUGUGACGGAUCUGCGGUAGAGCGUGUAGGUUAGGACCCGAAAGAUGGUGACUAUGCCCUGAUAGGUGAAGCCAGAGAACUCUGUGUAGCUCGCAGCGUUCUGACGUGCAAUUCGAAUCCGUCCAAAUUUUUGGGGGGGGA